rnacentral:rRNA from 1 species
UGCGUAGGCGGCGCGGUAAGUCGGGUGUGAAAUCUCGGAGCUUAACUCCGAAACUGCAUUCGAUACUGCCGUGCUUGAGGACUGGAGAGGAGACUGGAAUUUACGGUGUAGCGGUGAAAUGCGUAGAUAUCGUAAGGAAGACCAGUGGCGAAGGCGGGUCUCUGGACAGUUCCUGACGCUGAGGCACGAAGGCCAGGGAGCAAACG